CUCAACAGAAUAUCUUAGUGAGUUGGCCAAAGACACACAGAUGCUUAGGGUUGACCCCAGGCUAAGUACUCAGAAUCUCCAACUCUAAAUCAGGCCCUUUGCCCUGCACUAUACUGACUUAGAGAAUUGAGCCAUUAUUGGGAUAAUUAAGGUUUAAAAAGUGCAGGAUACAUUUCUGUGUUGCUUAUUCAGUUAUUUUGCCUAACCACCCAAUUUUCAUAUUUCAUUUCUGUUUUGUUUAUCAAACACAUUUAUAUUUUUCUUCACACGAUUUCCUUCUUUUAAUUCUUUUUCUUAGUGAAGUUGGGAUAUUUUACUUUUUAAAAAACUUACAUUAGUAAAUAGCUUUACAACUCAGUCUUGCCAUUUUGGUAAGGUAAUUUUAAAUUAAGAAAUACUUGUAGACAUUCAAUUAGUCAUCUUACCCUAAUUAGUGAGCACCUACUGUCACCUAGUUGUGUAGGAAGAUGGGAGUAAGUGAAGAUUUCUCAAUAAAAAUAUUUAUGAUGGAGAAUAGUAAUCGUAUGCUGAUUUUAGUGGUUUAGUUCAUUACUUUUAAACACAGUCCACAGGACUCAUUCAUAAGGUUCUAAAGAGGGGUAAUUUCACCAACAUUUAAGACAGGAAGUUAGUUGGAAGUGCUCAGUCAAUAUGUUGUCAUUCAAUGAGCUUGAACAAGUUACAUACCUUCCCAGAUAUCUCAUUUGUCAAAUGAAAGAGUAGGAUAAAAUAAUUUGAGCCUUGGAUAGGUUUUCAAAUUUAUGUAAAAGGCAAAAAUGGUUAGAAUAGAGGAAUGGUUUUGUUCAAACUAACCCAAAUCCAAAAUAUCCUUGAAACUAAGUCAUUCCUAACACUUUUUUUCUGGCUCAAGAAGGCUUUCUCUACGUAUCCUCCUACUAAGUUGCCCAAAAGAGUUUGAGUUUGAAUCUGAGACAGUGGAAAGUAGACCAUUUGGCUACAUAAUUUUUUUUCUUUUGCUAUAUGAGAAUUCAGGGGAAAAGAUCUAAGCCAAAAAUAAAAAAAAAAAAGUACAUCUUGAUUUCACCUCUA